rnacentral:snRNA from 14 species
UCAGUUACUCCAGUUCCAGGGAAUCUGAUGCCCUCACAGGAAUGCAUAUUAAAAAAAGAUGGUUGGAUUUUUGGAACUAGGAGUUGGAAUAGGAGCUUGCUCCGUCCACUCCACGCAUCGACCUGGUAUUGCAGUACCUCCAGGAACGGUGCACCCCCU